UACGAAGGGUGCAAGCGUUACUCGGAAUUACUGGGCGUAAAGCGUGCGUAGGUGGUCGUUUAAGUCCGUUGUGAAAGCCCUGGGCUCAACCUGGGAACUGCAGUGGAUACUGGGCGACUAGAAUGUGGUAGAGGGUAGCGGAAUUCCUGGUGUAGCAGUGAAAUGCGUAGAGAUCAGGAGGAACAUCCAUGGCGAAGGCAGCUACCUGGACCAACAUUGACACUGAGGCACGAAAGCGUGGGGAGCAAACAGG
rnacentral:rRNA from 2 species